rnacentral:lncRNA from 1 species
GGAGAGUAGGAAUACGGGCAAUAAAAGAUGGAGGCAGACAACGCCCCAGUGAGACCAACCGGACUCGUUCUGUUUAUUUAGACAACUUACUGUCAGUAACACAGAAAUAAUACAACUCUCUCACUGGGAACAGAUGUGGCUGGGAUUCCAAGGUACCUUUUAGCCAAUUUAGCUAAACGGGGAAACUGCUUCUGGUUGUCCUUCCACCAGUCAAGUGGAUUUGCCUCCACUGAGAAGCUCUGCACUGCUCUGUAAUGCUGUACCUCAUCCACCACUUGAGACAAAGGCUUGGAUGAUGAUGCCUGGUCCACUGGAAAUAACUCUCCAAACAGUUCACUCAUUGGUGCUCUUUUGGGUGAAGGAGGACCGUCACUGCUGCUGGAAGCCACCUCUGUAUGCUCCUCUGUCUCCUCCCUGGAUGUCUGAGCCUAACAGACAAAACACAUAACACAAUUGCAACAUAUUGUUAUGUAGCAGGAUAAGCAUUUUGUCUUGUUUCCCCUCUUGCCCUUUGUUUACAUUUGGUUACUAUGGUUUCCGCUAUGCAUUGGGGUGGGCCAGUAUAAAAGCGGUAGUCUGUCCACCGGUUCGUCCUCUCAUCAUUUCCGGGUCGGCGGUUGUGUGCCCGACAGGGCGAUCGUGUGCUGCUGUGUGCUUCCUGUCCGUGUGCGCCGCUGUGAUUGUUUGGCGGUGGUAAAUGCUGGCGGCUGCCUGGAGUCCUUUCUCCCUCCCUCCUCUCAUGAGUGUGUGAGUGUCUGUGCUACUAAAAAGUUGCUGUAGGCCGGUGGUGGCGUUGCUGGUGACCUGGUGGUGGCAUCCUCCCUUGUCUUGUCUUGCUGUGUCCCUUGGAGUGGGUUUUUCUUCACUGAGAGUGUGUCUGCCACGUGUGCCCGGUGACUUAAGUUUGUUUCUUUAUUUUGGUGGAUUCCUCCCCUGCACUAGCCUUCGUCCAUCCACUUCGGCCUCAGCCCUGAUUAGUUGCUGUAGGCCGGUGGUGGCGUUGCUGGUGACCUGGUGGUGGCAUCCUCCCUUGUCUUGUCUUGCUGUGUCCCUUGGAGUGGGUUUUUCUUCACUGAGAGUGUGUCUGCCACGUGUGCCCGGUGACUUAAGUUUGUUUCUUUAUUUUGGUGGAUUCCUCCCCUGCACUAGCCUUCGUCCAUCCACUUCGGCCUCAGCCCUGAUUAGGUUUGUCUUUUGUGUGAAUGAGUUAAUUGAUUUUUAAGAAUAUAUUAAAAUAAAAUGCAUUUUAAAACUUUGAACCACGUCUCUCGCCUUUAAGUAACUACGAACCUGUGUGCCUUGCGUAAGAAAAUAAUUCUCUGGGUGAAAUUCCCAGGGUGGCGUUGUUGAGCUUUUAGUAUUUUUCCUUUCUUUUCACCUCCUCCUUGCCACAGUUAGAUUAAAUUCAUUACAAUCAAGUUUAGAAAUAUGAAAUCCAGGAAAAUAACAUGAGUGAAACUGGUUUACAGUUAACCCUAAUAUCUGAAGGGGGUGCACUUUCUCCAGUUUUACACUUGAGAUUCAUAACUACCAAUUAUUCAAUUAUUCAUUAAAAAAAAUCCCUUAAAUGCAAAUGUGAACACUUGAUGUGCCAAUUUUAACAUUUUAGGUGGUACGUAUCAGGUAUGAGGGUUAAGCAUUAUUUUCUGACUCUUUUUAAUGCUGAAUGUAAAAACAGAAUAUCAUAACUGAUUAACACCGCACUUAAAACUAUCAAAUAGACUUACCUGAACAGUCUCUGAGUCUUCCAGAGUACUCCCAGUCAGAGUCUUGAAGAUUGCGUCACUGCUGGUGCUCUCAUCCAGGAAAGGCAUGGAUUUGAAGAGGGGGUCCAGUGCAGUGCUCAGAUGGAGAAACUGGAUCAGUGUGUGAUCUGUAUCAGGGUACCUGUCCUUGAAGUCACGUGAAAUGGCAGUUUUGACCUCUUUCACUGCUGCUGAGUCAGACAGUGCAUUUACAUGACACUCAAGAAAACCGAAUUACUAUGUUAGUCUGACUAUGAUGGGAUCUUUAAGAUGCACGUAUAUACCUUAGUCAGACUAAAAUCAGACCGGAUUGGAUUUCUCAUAGUCGAAUUAAAGCACCCAGAUUAUUCGAUUGAUAGUCGCAUUACUCCUGCAUGUAUACGUUCCAGCGGAUCGGAUUUUGCGUUCUGCGCAGGCGCAAGAUUUUUCCCUGGGGCCGUGAGCCGGAAGUAGACGGACGGCAGCGGCGUCGCCUUUCCGCCGUAAUCACCGCAAGAAUCACUGCGGUGAUUACGGCAAGUUUGUGUAAUUAACAUGUACACCAUAUACGAAAUGUACAAAGACGUAGCUUCGUCUCGCUCUUCGUACGCCAUCUUUCUUGAAUGCCGAGGCAGCUGGUGACA